rnacentral:rRNA from 1 species
AUACGGAGGGUGCGAGCGUUAAUCGGAAUUACUGGGCGUAAAGCGUACGUAGGCGGUUGGUUAAGUUAGAUGUGAAAGCCCCGGGCUUAGCCUGGGAACUGCAUUUAAAACUGGCGAACUAGAGUUGAGUAGAGGGGAGUGGAAUUUCAGGUGUAGCGGUGAAAUGCGUAGAGAUCUGAAGGAACACCAGUGGCGAAGGCGACUCCCUGGACUCGAACUGACGCUGAGGUACGAAAGCGUGGGUAGCAAACGGGAUUAGAAACCCUUGUAGUCC